rnacentral:rRNA from 1 species
GACGAACGCUGGCGGCGUGCUUAACACAUGCCAGUCGAACGGAAAGGCCCUGCUUUUGUGGGGUGCUCGAGUGGCGAACGGGUGAGUAACACGUGAGUAACCUGCCCUUGACUUUGGGAUAACUUCAGGAAACUGGGGCUAAUACCGGAUAGGAGCUCCUGCUGCAUGGUGGGGGUUGGAAAGUUUCGGCGGUUGGGGAUGGACUCGCGGCUUAGCGGCUUGUUGGUGGGGUAGUGGCUUACCAAGGCUUUGACGGGUAGCCGGCCUGAGAGGGUGACCGGCCACAUUGGGACUGAGAUACGGCCCAGACUCCUACGGGAGGCAGCAGUGGGGAAUAUUGCACAAUGGGCGGAAGCCUGAUGCAGCAACGCCGCGUGCGGGAUGACGGCCUUCGGGUUGUAAACCGCUUUCGCCUGUGACGAAGCGUGAGUGACGGUAAUGGGUAAAGAAGCACCGGCUAACUACGUG